rnacentral:lncRNA from 1 species
CUUAAGUAAACACGUAAAAAAAAUUGCUUUAAUUUAUGCUUAUAAAUUUUAUGUUAUCAUUGUCAUACUGUGCUAUUUGUUCAAUAUGUCACUUCGAUAUACGGCAGCAAUACGAGACAAGUGACUACUAUUGACUCAUUCAGGUACAACGGAUCUUCGACACGGAGUACUUUUGUAGGAGUGUCGCACUUCAAAGGUUGAUCGGGUGCGGCCAGUCGAGAGCAUCUCGUCUCAAGACGAAUCGAUAAAAACACUAGAGUAUAUAGUAGCUAUGGAGGAUAAAUUGGAAGAAGAAGAAGAAACGGUGGAUGAAGCUGAAUUUUUGGGAGAUGAGCUAUUGGCGACAGGGGUGCUGGGAAUGGCCGUCCUUGAAGGUGGCCAUGAAGAUCAUUUAACAAAACCAGUAAAUAACAAAAAUCUCAUUGAAAUAACUCCUACAGCUAGUGAUGGUGCUACCUAUACAGGCAAUCAUCUCGAACUACCCAUAGACAGAAUAUCACCCCCGUGCCACGUCAAGUUUGAUGCCUCGUAGGCUCAUGGUGAUACGCUGCUGUUGUGACCUGCGUUAUUGAUUGGCGCACCGCGCGACUUACCUCUUGACUAGACUCAGAUCUGGUCAGCAGCUUUAGGGACGUGUCAGACCAUAGGCAAUUGCGGCGUAGGAGGUCGGGUUCCCCAAUCCGAACUGACGAAGUCUCCACCGGAAGUGCCGGACGUGAAUCGCCUUUUUUUCAAAGCUUGGAUACGGGAAAACUGGGUCGAUUGGACAGACCGCACGCGCUUGGAAGUUCAUUAGGAACGCAAUACGAACAGAGUUGCGCAUAAGGCCUCGUUCACUGCAGUGUUCAUUGUAGAGCCUAUCGCGGGAAAGGAGCCGGGCUUCUUUAGGAAACACGCACACAGAUGCCGUACGUGGAGAUGGCGUGGCUUGAAUAAAUAAUGCGCAUCUCCUUCAGUGCAUUGCCACAUAACUAACAAGAACCCGCCUCGCUGGUUUAAAAUUUCAGUAUUGGCAAAAAUGACUAAUAAGAAACUAAUAACCAUUACAACAAGGUACUGAAGAAAAUAGCUAAUCAAUAUGGAAGAUUAAUAGCUGCUUGUAUGGUUACCAUGGUUAAUCGUAGGUUUAUUCGAGAAAUCCCAAAUCUAGCAAAAUUAAUUCAGGUUAGGCCUCUAGUGAAGGUAAGUUCUUAAUGCUAUAGCUAAAAAAGGUACGAAAAACCUGUUCACAACUGCAAAUGCCAAAAACGCCGCUUUAUGGCUUUCGAGGUUCCUCGCCUUAGUCCAUUCACUUCUGAUUCUCUCCUUCCUCUUAUACAUUUGAGGAAGUCCUCCCGAAAACCGACUUCGUCUGGAGGGAAGCGUUCAUUUACUUUUUGUUUGAAAACGCUCCAUUUGUAUAUCCUGGAUACGAUCGUUAGGCCGUACCACAUCAGAGAGGGCCCGCUUAGGUUCUGGCAACUCGCCGCACGAUUCGCCUCUGGGGUGCUAGACGGGCAGUUCCUUCUGGCAAUUUUGUCGGCCGGCUACAGUCAAACCCGAGAGCCCCUGCCCCUCCAACUUGCUGUAAACUUUUUAAGAAACAGCAAGCUAGAUUUUCUAUUCUGUUGCCUUUUAUGGUCCUACCAAGCUGCCAUUAAAAACAUCACAACAACAAGCCUCUACUGUUAGCAACUACCCAUGACUGGCCAAAACCGAAAAUGUAUGUCUACACAUGCAUGGUACUGUACCUAAAUUAUGAUAGGCUUUGACAUGCUGGUUGUGGUAACGGGCAUGCGUUUAUCGCGCUUAUCUGGUAGUACCAAACGAAAGCCGGUUAUUUCUACAACAAAACAAUAAACUCCAAUUCGAGAUUUUCUCAGUUUAAACAAAGACUACCUAUUAUUAAAUCUCUAGA